GCCCCCCUAGCUCAGUUGGUAGAGCGUUUCCAUGGUAAGGAAAAGGUCACCGGUUCGAUUCCGGUGGGGGGCU
rnacentral:tRNA from 1 species